rnacentral:lncRNA from 1 species
AAUCCAUCCCUAUGGUGUAGAUAGUGCAAACUGCAGUAGAUAAGGAUGAGGUAAAGCUCUUAAUGGAUACCAUAGUCCUUUAGGAUGGUGUGUCUACCUGCAGUACACACUUGAUGGAUCCACCUAUAUGGGUGUGGGAGUGGGGCCGCUUCCUAUGAGAAUUAGGCAGUUCUCUAAAGCACUCAUGAAUAUCCAGGUAAGGUGCAUGGCCUAUUUGCACCAACUCGUUUAGAACAAGCCCAGAACUUGAGAGGUCAAUGUGGGCUAUGAGUCACUGAUUUACGUAAAGGACUUUUGGUUCAUAGAAAUUUCAUGUUUCACCAAAAGUUCUGUAAGCCAUACUUACUAGUCCUAAAAAUGGUUCAUAGUCUCAAAGACACUAUUUCGAUGCAUUGAACUCUCGCGCUCGUUAACUUAUUAUUGAAUUUUAAAAUAUGUGGGGGAUUGUU